AAACCUAUGUUUGCAGGACCACUUCUCUCCAUAUUUGCCUGGCUAAUGGAGAAAGCUGAGGGAGGAAAGAAAUGCCUUUCAGGGAAUAGAGUAUCAUGAGUGGGCCCUGCCUUCUCUAUAGCAUUCUCCAAUGCAUAAUGGUGCCACACUGUUUCAGAUCCAGCCCUUUAGAUGGGAAACCAUGUCAAGCCCAGGAGGUACGCAAGGAUGAUUGCAGAGAAGUAAACGCUGGAGACAGGGCUGAGCAUCAGAGCACCAUCAGCUUCGACACUGGCAUGCUGUUGAGGAAGCCAGCAUUGGCGAGAGGAAGGAAAAAGGUGCUCUACAAGCGUGAACUUACUUCAUACUUGUAACAACCUUACGAAGUCAGCAUUAUUGUCUCCAUUUUGCUGAUGAGAAAACAGAUACAGACAGGUUAACUUGUUCAAGGUCAUAAUUUGCAUUACAUGUAUAUGUGCCUAUAUUUAUAUGUUUAAAAAUAAAAUAACCUUAAACUUAUUCA
rnacentral:lncRNA from 1 species